rnacentral:rRNA from 1 species
UACGAAGGGGGCUAGCGUUGCUCGGAAUCACUGGGCGUAAAGCGCACGUAGGCGGAUUGCUAAGUCAGGGGUGAAACCCUGGAGCUCAACUCCAGAACUGCCUUUGAUACUGGUGAUCUUGAGUUCGGGAGAGGUGAGUGGAACUGCGAGUGUAGAGGUGAAAUUCGUAGAUAUUCGCAAGAACACCAGUGGCGAAGGCGGCUCACUGGCCCGAUACUGACGCUGAGGCACGAAAGCGUGGGGAGCGAACAGG